GGGAUGCGCCUGAGGGUUUUGCUUGAGUUGUGAACUGAUUUGGAAGAGAGCAGAAAUAUUUCAGUAGGCAAUCUGUGUUUUCUUCCUUAAUUUCUCAAAGAAAGUCACAAUGUGUUGCACACAGGUAGGGGUAUUGUCAAAGAAAGGCCUUAUAAAAUCAGGCCUUACUCUCCUAAAAAUGAGCAGCUGGCCUGUUAUGUCUUCUACGUACAGCUAGCUAAAUUCCCAUGUGAAAAAUCAUGACUGCAGUUAGCACAACAAGCUCUUGUGGUAAGAAAACUGCAUCUGUAAUAAUCAGGAAAUCUGUCCAAUGGGAGUCCACAAAGGAAAAUUGUAAACACCUGAGUAAAAGAGAGAGUCUUAGCAAGUCCACACAAAAACACCUUCUAAGCAGUGAAUUGUGUGGACAAGAAAAGAACCAGGCAAUUGGAAUUAAACAUGAGGUCUGUGGAAACGGUAUAAAAAUUAGUUUUGUGAAUAAAAAAUUGGCUUUCUAUGCAUGAAAAAACUGAGUCCCAGCUGCUGUAUUGACACAGCCAUGUGGCUUCACUCAGCAAGAGCACUUGAAGGGUGUAUUGAUGAAAUGCUUGUGUUGAUUCCCAGAACAGCAAGGAGAAAUGUUAAGUGUAUUCAAUAGGGCUUAAGCUUGUGAAUCCCUUUAGCUUUAACAGGCAGUGCUGAACCCUGUAUUGCCCCACUGCAGUGCCUAAUGUGUGCAAGUGCUAUUUUAGCCUUGAGAAUAAAGAGAGUGGUCCUGCUAAGAAGGUAGCUGGAAUGCAUUCAAAGGGAAGAUAUGUUUUUAAGAGGCUCUUGACCAGCAAAGGAGAAUUUGAGGAAUGGAAUAGUUCCCAAAUGACUGUGUCAGGAACCAGAGUCAUGUCCAAGGCUCUGCCAUAUUUGAUCCGUGUUUGAGCAGGUUGACAAGACAAUGAAGAAAAGUGUAUUGUUUAAUGGGUGGGAACAGGACCCUUGAAAGAGAAACAAUGUAUGGGUCAAUCGGUGGGCAGUUAAGGUUUGAAAGGGGAGCAAUGCAUAAUGGAGCCUUGUUGGCAUGGCCUUGGUAUCUGGAGCCAUCCUGGCCUCAUCUCACAUGCCAGCCAUGUGUGAGCUGAUGCUGUAACUGGGAAAAUUCCACUCCUGAGCAGGAGGUAUAAGGCCUGGCUCUGGGCUGGAGGGGUGAGAAGGAUGACGUGCACACCGUUUUGAUCCAGGGCAUGUCCUGGAAGUGCACUGCCUACCUGCCCCUGUCGCCGAGCACCACACUCCAUCUCCUUCUCCUGCUCAGCGGAUUUUUGGGAAUCCAGGGGUUGGUAUUAUUUGCUACUGCAACUAAUGGAAUACAUUUGCUUGGCAAGCCCAGUUGUGUCUUAGAUUCUUUUGUGCAUGAGUCUCCUCCUGAACCUGUGGCAAUGACCACCAGGGACCUACAGGAUACUUCUACUCUGAUGUCAAUAAAUUCUGAGAAAUUAUUUAAAUAUGUCAAAUAAUUUGGAGUAAUGUUUAGCCUGUGAAUUUCAGCAAAGUAUUGAAUAUGUCUUAGUUCCAUGGAUACAAACUAAUAAGUGAGAUUGCUGGGUGUGCAGGUGUUAGGGGAGUGAUUCCCUAUGCACCGAGUACUGAAAUAAACAAAUGCCUCCUUUCCAAUCCUGAGCUGGCAGCAGGGAACAGGCCCUGCUCUGUAACUUUCAUUUUGGCAACUUCUGUGAACAGGUAAGAAAGGUCAAAAUGAAACCUCUCCCAGCUAUUUGCCUCUGCUUUAUCUUUUUAGGUGCCAGAACUCUGUGUCACAGAUGGCCUGGCUGUGUGCUGAGCAAUGCAGCCCCCACAAAGCCUUUGGUUUCCCCACAAGUUGCCAUGCCUUGUUCCCAGGUGUGCCCAGCUCUGGCAGGAGAAAGAGCCUGCAGCGCCGUGCCCUGCCCAGCCGGGGCUCUCUGGCACAGAGCAGCAGCAGCGCCAGCACCUCUCAAUCCGCUCUUUCCUUAUCUUCUCCUGGGACACAGAAGCCUCUGGAAAUCAGCACCACCAGUCGUGUUCCCAGCUCGGAGCAGCUCCUGCUGGUGGGCAGGUGCUGCCAGUUUGACUGCUUCCAAAGGGGAAUAAAGGCAGAGAUGUACAUCCUCAGGAGCCCUGGGCGUAUCCAAUAAACGUGCAGAUAUGUGGGAGAUUUGUUAGGAAUUGUUUCAGCUGUUAUGCCAACAGUGCCUUCUCUCCUGGUUCUGUGUGCUAUAGAUGAGUAAUGUAACAGUUGGCUCUCACUGUUAAGAGGUAGAUAUUAUGUGGAUAUAAAAAUGUAUAGUGAUGUUAUUGUAAUAUAGGCUCCCAUAGUCCUAUUUCCCCUCCCCCUUGCAAUAGCCUUGGUAGUCAGGGCUUUUGGGGAGGGCCGGCUUGUGACCAGGAGGUGUGGCGUAACAACACCUGACCUCCAGUCAAGAGGUAAGAAAGAAAUCUCCACCAGUGGAUGGCAAAACUUUGACAAAACUUUGGCGGGAUGAAGGGUAUAAAAGGCAGAGCAACCAUUUGAUAGAUGAGCUGCUCUAUGUAAUGUUCAUAGAGACUCCCAGUGCUGCAAGUUUUCCUUAUUCAGUCCUUUGUUAAGAUUUAAUAAACCUUUAAAUUUAUAAAAGUGAGGGUUGUGUCUCAGAUGUGCAAUGCUUUGGGCCAUUUUCUUGGUCUGGUUUCCUUAGCUUGGUUCCCAUCUGAGUGCUCAGUUCGGGUACAGGCUGUAGGUGCUUGGUGCACUCCUGGAGUUACUCUUGGAUCCCUUGAACAACAGGGUUUGGCCCACGAGGGGAAUUUGUGCUGCUUUGUGACAGAGGAGAACUUCCCCAGCUAUUUUGCGUUUGCUGUAGGGAAGGUUGGUUAUUGCUCUGCCUAAAUUCACAGGCCAAUAUAGAGUGCUUGCAUUGUGAUGUCAGGGCAUGGUUGCCAUGUGGUCAUGGUGGCAUCAGAAGGUUGUCUUGGUGCACGGAAGGCCUCAGUGUCAGAGCAGCUCUAGGGCUCGCUCAGGGCAGGAGCAUCCUCCUGCUUGAGGCGUUUGUCAGUGGGAGCUGCCCACAGACAAGAGCCUUGAUUUUUCUGAUGGUGGAGCAAAUCUGCACAGCAGUGCUACAAUGAUUGAGAAGGUUGUUGCUGUAGCUAUUGGAGUUUACGGCGUUUGUUAUUCCAGCUAUUACCUCACUAACCUGACACGUCACCUGAUGCAUGUAAUCAGCGGUGCUGGUCCUAAGCUUCCCAGGAGAAGGUUUUGAAAUUUCCCAGCCUUUUUCAGCUUUGUGUCUACUUUCUGGGGCCUUUUUGCACUUUCUAAAGUUUUUUACCUUUUAUAUAUUCCUACAAUUCCCCCACUCUUUUUAAAUAAACUAUUUCUGACUCGUCACUUAUUUAUUACUUUGUGUUAUAUAGCUUCACUACUGCAUAUAUUUAUUCAUUUAGGAAAAAAUUUAUAAACUUUUUAUAUGAAGGUACUUUGUUUUAAGCUCUAUAAUUUUAAGUUAAAGCAUUAUUAAUGUUGGGUAAAGUAAGGUUUAGUAUCUGUAUUAGGUUCUGAUAAAUUUUGGCAUUUUUAAGGUCUCAAUUUCAAGGUUUAAUUUGUGAGUGACUUUAAUUAGUUUUGGUGAGGUUUUGUGCAUUGUUUGUAAUUUUUCUUUUGUAUUUUUCUUUUGGACAAUAAAAACCUUUUUGAUGAGUUUGUAAUUUGUUGUGAAUAAUGAAGUGUAUAAGGAAUUAAUAUUAAUAUUAUAAAAACAAGAUUUUACUUAACUUGUAAAGUUGUUUUGAUUAAGGAGUUAAGCUCUACUUACUGAAUCAAUUGUUUAACUAUGUUUCUUUAUUUUUAAUUGUAGAUGUUAAGUUUUUGUAUGUUUUUGUGAAUGGAUUUAGAAUGAUUAGACAAAUUUAUGUAACACAUUCUUUUGAAUUCUUUACAACUCUGUUUAUGUGUUAGAAAAGGAAAUUAAUGGUUGUUUGAUUUUGGAGUUUGUUGGACACUGCUGACGUCAGUUCGCAUGUUACUGAGUGCACUGGAUGUGGUAUUAGUUUGUUUGUUUAGUUAAUAUUUAAUCUUAUCUAUUUGUCUUAAUGUUGUUUCUGAAGCAAUUGUAGGUAAAAAGAAGCUUGUUGAAAUAUUUUGUGUUUUUUUUAACAGACUGAAAUUACUAUUGUAAUCUUUUGGGUAUAUAUUAAUAGAUCUUUUUUCUUGUCUUUUUUGAAACUGUUUUAGUACUGGGUGUUAUUACAGUGAGUGUGCUAAUGUUACAUGGUUUGUCUUUAGGGUAUGAUGGAAUGUUUUGCUAUGUUUUAUUUCUACAAAUGAACUAAUAACAUUUUGGUAAUUUCUGUGGAUAUUGGUUAACUUUAGAUUUUUAUCUACAGUGUAUGAGUAAUUGCACUAAAAACGUAAAUUUUUAUAUUCAUAGUAAGAGUGAAUAACAUUGUAUUUUGGAGAAUUAUAUUUUUGCUAAUUGUUUCUUGAAAAUGUGACACAGAAA